AAAGGUCAAUAACUGCGUCACUCUGCUCCACGUUGCUGAUGUUCGAUGAGGCUUCAUGUUUGUCUCUGCGGAUUUUCCACCCUGGUGACCACAGAGGCCUUCGAGGGUUCCAGACGUCCUUCAGAACAACAACCAGAAAACCAUCACAGCUGAGUGUGGACAGGACGUGACUCUGACAUGUCGAGCUCCAAACAGCAACAACAAGAUCAUAGUUGUAGAGUGGAGCAGAGCUGACCUGGAGCCACAACAUGUCCUUUUGCAGCACAAUGGGCAGUUUGAUCUAGAAAAUCAGCAUCCAUCUUUUAAGAACCGGGUGGAUCUACGGGACAGACAGAUGAAGGAUGGAGACGUGUCUUUGAUUCUGAAGGAUGUGAUGAUUAGAUGACACUGGAACAUACGAGCUGUCGUGUUCAGAGACAGAGAGAAAGUUUAAGUCUCAUCACCAGUGUCUACCUGCAUGCUGAUCCUCCAGGUGAGUGAGUAGAGUUGAGUGUGUGUGUGAUCAGAGGUGAAGCUGCUUCCUGGUUGCUGUUUACUGAUUAUAAGUUGGAAGUGAUUAUGUUGUUAUCGCAGCUGGAUAUGAUCCUGCUUUUAUUUUCUCUCCCUGUGCCGUCUGUUCCCAAACUCACCCACACAGCACAUGGUGAUUUUACAAUCUCGGGUAGGAUACUGUCCGUCCAAAGUCCAAGUUCCGGUGGUGGGCAAUUUCUAUUAGUUCCUAACGACUGAAAGUGAUCAGUGUGUUGCAGGAAAAUGUAAGAAAAAGGUAUCAAAUAUACAAAAAAGGUGCGCAGUAGUCUGGAGUUCUGUGCACUGCAUACUACCAUACGAACUGCCAUCUUGUCCCACUAGUUUGCUUACAGAGCAAGUAGGUCCACGGAGGAUGCCGGCAUCAACACCUUUCACAGAGCACUGAGCCAAAUGGAGAUCAGGAAGAGUUAUGUUAGGAUUCAGAUCCCCUCUGUCACCUGCUCUUUGAUCACAGACUUCCUAAGCAUCCUCACUCAGUCUGACCGACCAUCUGUAGGGGAUCACACUCCUCAGCCUGUGUCAUUUUUAUCUUGAAAGGUGCUGUACAAAUAAACUUUUAUUUACUUAUUACUGAGGUGUUUCAGGCCUCCUGGGUGAGGUGUUCUGGGCAUGUCCCACAGGGAGGACGCCCCAGGGUAGAAAUAGGACACGCUGGCGAGAUAAUAUCCAUCAGCUGGCGUGGGAAUGCAUUGGUGCUCUUCUGGAAAGGCUGGAGGAGGUGGCUGGGUCGGGGCUUUCCUGCUUAAGCUGCUGCCCCCGCACCCCAGCCCAGGAUAAGUGGAAGAAAAUGGAUGGAUUCUUGGAAUCUGUCACCACCUUCAGGUUUCUGGGCACCCAUAACUCCACUGAUCUCACCUGGACACCAACUCCCAAGGCCCAGCAGCAACUGCACUUGCUCUUUGUCCUGAGAAAGAAUAAGCUGGACCAGAAGCUGCUGCUGGCCUUCUGCUGCUCCUCAGUGGAGAGUGUGUUCUCCUGCUGCCUGGGUGUUUGCUACACAGGGCCACAACUGAGAACAAGGCUGCACUGAGGGUAAUUACCACUGCCCAAAAAGUCAUUGUCUGCCCUCUGAAACCCCUGGGGAUCAUCACUAGAUCCUCCUGUCUCAGGAAGACCAGGACCACCACAGGUGACCCUUUGUUCCCCGCCCACCACCUGUUUGACCCGCUGCCCUCUGGUUGACCCCUCAGGUCUAUCAAGUCCCAAACCUCCAGACUCACUAACAGCUUCUUCCUCUCGGCCAUUUGCACUGUUAACCAACACUGUCCCUCCACAUCCCACGCUUGCAGACCCGUAUCACCGAUCUGAGCCAUGGUCUGAGUACCUCCAUCAUCACUCAGGCAAACACACAUGAACUCUAUUCGGACAAAGUCUUUUCUUUGCACUACUUUAAAGCACUUUGCUGCAACUAUGUUGUUCUCUAAUAUGUGCCUUUAUCUUGUUGUUAUAGAUGUUUCUCCCGUUUGCUAUUUAUUCCUGCUCUCAGCUAUUUAUAUUUUAUUCCAGCACAUUUGGUGUGGAGCACGCACAAUUUGGUUUUACGUGUUCAACGACUAAAGAGCUAUUCUGUUCUGUUCUAUUCCUGCUUGUUUCUUAUGCUUGUUUUUUCUGAACACCUCCCAUCUGUUUCUUACCUGCAGGUCAAUCAGGAUGGAAAGUCGGUGUGUCAGUGUCUGCUGUGCUUCUUGUUGUUGCUGUUGUUGGAUUUUUGAUCUACAGAAAACAUAAACAGCAGCAGAGGCAGCGUCCCGAUGAACUGCAGCCUGUUUGACAUGUCUCAGAGUUUUUCUCCUGCUGCUGUUAGACUCUCAGUGUUGUCAGUGAAUAUUGAGGUACAGACAGAGGAUCUGAUCAUCCAGCAGACAGACAUCAAACACACGAGUUGGUUUGAUGUUAAAUCCCUCUGAUUAUCAUCAAAGCUGUUCAGACUGUGUUAGUGUGUCUCUGUCUGUCAGACACUCUGUGAACUACAGAGACUCAAAAACUGUAAGGCAGCAAUAAAGUCAGUACAUAACAAUAAGAUAUUAAAUGAAAUGAUUCAGUUUGUUAUAAAAUUUUAUUUCAAACACAUCUUAUCUGGUCUGUUUGCCAUGUCGAUUGCACGUCAGGUUCAGUUUGUUCUCCAGCUGUUUCCUUCUUACUUUGAGCCACAGUGAGUCAUGUCAUGUCAAUCACAUUCUCUCAGGUCUUGUGGUCCCUGUGCUAUCUGUCAUCCAAAGCACAGUUAGACUCGUGGACACUGUGUAACUGU